rnacentral:rRNA from 1 species
GCUUGCUUUCUUUGCUGGCGACCGGCGCACGGGUGAGUAACACGUAUCCAACCUGCCCUUUACUCGGGGAUAGCCUUUCGAAAGAAAGAUUAAUACCCGAUAGCAUAAUGAUUCCGCAUGGUUUCAUUAUUAAAGGAUUCCGGUAAAGGAUGGGGAUGCGUUCCAUUAGGUUGUUGGUGGGGUAACGGCCCACCAAGCCUUCGAUGGAUAGGGGUUCUGAGAGGAAGGUCCCCCACAUUGGAACUGAGACACGGUCCAAACUCCUACGGGAGGCAGCAUG